AAACAUUGUAUCGCGAUACUUCAGCUUUGAAAUGUCGGCGCGGUGUGUGGUCAUAACAGACGGUUCGCCAGCUAAGGAACGCUCCAGAUAGAGAAUCUUGGUGGGACCAGUGAAUGGCAUGUGGAGUGGUUAUUGAGGGGACAUAUAAAACAGCUCUCCCCCUGAUGUGGAGCCCCGUGACCUGCUCAGAGAGUUCCCCUCCUGCCCUGCAACAGACGUCUUAUCAAUCGUGACUGAUUGCUGUAAUCUGGACUCUAGGCAGCCAUUAAGCAAAUUACCUGAAUCAUUUUGUUGGAACAGCUUGAUCAGCCACAGCAGAGUGACAGUGGGGUCUGGCCUUGCCUUUGGUGGCAGAGGCUGACCCUGGUGCAGGGAUGGACUUGGGGUCCAAGCGUCGACCGGCCCAGCCCUGUGUAUUCCUGGCUUUAAACCAGGUUUUCUUCUGCUAAAUGACUGUGUGUGCGGAGAAAGAUGAUCUUUGAGGUUUAUGGGCCCACUGACAGAAGACAGCUGUCUGCCCGUCCUCCAGCUCAGCUCUGAGGUGUCCUGGGACUCUGCCUGCUUGCGGGUCAGGACCCCAGAGGGGAGGCACCAUUUGGUACCAGUUACCGAGGAGCAGGGGCCACUGGUGCCUUCCUCCUUCCUUUCAGUCAAGGUAAUGCUGGCCAGGCGAGCAGCCCCUGGCUGACCGGCAGGCACGGGCAGCACUACCCAUCAUGCCACAGUGGUGAAGGGCCCGGUGACCUUGACACAGGCCAGGCUCAUCCCCCUCGCUGUGCUGCAGACUGCUUGGGAGAAGAUGGAUGGAGGCACAUUUUGUAUGGCCGCUGACUGAAUGCAGCGUGUGCUAGGUGAAUGGAACUCACUGUGAUUAUAACCUUCACUUAUUGUGGAAACGUUGACUGAGCACACUGUGAAAUUAUUACUGUGCAGGCAGCACCGUUUUCUCAGCAACAGUUCCCACAGUUGGGUUGCAUUUACACCAGGCGUGUUUAAAGAGAACUGUUGGAGCAUUUCCUCUUUAUGUUCGAGCUUCUAAACACAGGUGACUGGAGCAGUGACUGUUGGGGUUAAGUAGUCCAUGGUAGGCAUGAGAAUAAUAUACAGUGGGUUCAAAAGGUUCUGGAUAAAUGGAGAUGCAUGUCGACUAUUUAUUAGUCGUGGUUACUAAACGCCAUCCCUGGUAGGCCUUUCUUUCUUUCUUUCUUAGUUGUGGUUACUCAGUAGUUUUCCCAUGUACUACUAGAGAACUUCAUAUCAUGAAGUUUGGUGUGUUCAGGCUUAAUUGUCAAAUUGUUUCAAGAUUUAUUUGAAUUAGGAGUAGUUUAUUGUAGGCUUAAGCUUAAUUUUGACUUGUCAACAUGUAGCUAUGUAGCCAAAUGACAUUACUUGGCUAGACUGCCCGCCUGUUCUCAAGCUAAAUGGCUACUUUCUCACCUGGAAAAAUAUGAACACUUAAAAACAUGGCAUAAUACCAGUCCAAGGAUCCAAGGAUGACAAUUAUAACAGCUUUGAGCCUGGAUCAAAAUUUCUACCAUUUCUGUUUCCCAACUUCUUCUUUUCUGCUACUUUGCUUUUUGACUGGCCCCUAGUUAGAACGCUAAUGUUUGCAAAAGCAUAACUGCAACAGCUAUGCAACUGUCUCCAAAUAACAGAAGCAUGUUCCCAUACGGUUCCGAAUCUGUAAAAGUCAUCCUGAUGAGUCAGCUUCAAAGUCACCUCUACUGUAUAUGCACGUGCAUUGUCUGUAUGUAUUGUACCUGCUGUUUCUGUGCUAAUCUUUGUCAUAGUCAUUGUCAUCAAACAACAAACAAAACUUACCAAUCCAAACAAUUUAUGACUGUUAAGCAUGACAGCAUAUAUUAUGACAAACAACACAUGCUCCAUUAUGCCAGCUGGUGUAAUGAUGUGGUAAUGCUGGACUCAUUAACUUCUGCACACAGUUUAUAGUGGCCUUUCAUGACAGAAUUAAUUGAUUCACACAUGCAUUAAAACAAAAAUAACUGGAAUGAAAAUGCAGUUGGAUGCCGGCCUCCAAUCAGUCACGAGCACUUCUGGUGGUAAAGCGGGCUGAAAUCAUUCAUGUAAAUGACUGGUCAUAUAUGCAGUAAACAACCCCAAAUAAGUCAUUUUUUUCACAGCUAUCUUUGCAUUUCUCACCCAGCACAUAUCACAGUGAAAAAUAUUUUUUAACAGCUAUUAAUUACUGUACACAUGUUUUAAAAAACAUUUUUCUCAAGUUGAUUGAAUCCUGUAAAUGUAUUUGUCUUCUCAAUGAAUAUUAUUCAGCGGUGACAUCUUCUCCUGCAGUUGAGCUCUCUGUUUGUUGUUUAACCCUGAAUACUGAUUAAAUCUUUAUUCAUUAUUUGUUCAAACGAGCCGUUAAAUGGGGAGAUUAAUUUGUAAAUUGUAAUCACACACCUUCUAGACAGUUGGAUUAAACUGCACAGAUUGUGUUCAGUGCUGCAGAACUUACAGUCUGAGUAACUUCCCAACAGUUUUACACAAAUGCUGCUUUACUUUUACACUUUGUUUGUUCACUAACUGGCCAUAAGGCUAUUAACAGAUAUCUGAAAGCCACAUUUGUAGAUUGAUAGGACAAAUUUAUUAUAAUUCUGUAUCUUUAGGCAUUUUCUUCUACGGAUUUUCCAUUCAACAUUUCUUCAGAGGUCAUUGGGUUGUCAGUUCAUCCAACCGUCUCACGAAUGCGAUAUCUCAGGAACCCCAUGAGAGAAGUUCUUAAAAUUUGGCACAAAUGUUCAUUUGAA